rnacentral:rRNA from 1 species
UACGUAGGGGGCAAGCGUUGUCCGGAUUUAUUGGGCGUAAAGCGCUCGCAGGUGGUUCGAUGCGUCGUGCGUGAAAGACCCCGGCUCAACUGGGGAGGGUCGUGCGAUACGGUCGAACUGGAGGCCAGUAGGGGGAUGCGGAAUUCCGGGUGUAGUGGUGGAAUGCGUAGAGAUCCCCAAGAACACCAGUUGCGAAGGCGGCUGACUGGACACAUAUUGACGCUGAGGCUCGAAAGCAUGGGGAGCAAACAGG